rnacentral:rRNA from 1 species
UACGGAGGGGGCUAGCGUUAUUCGGAAUUACUGGGCGUAAAGCGCACGUAGGCGGACUGAAAAGUCAGAGGUGAAAUCCCAGGGCUCAACCUUGGAACUGCCUUUGAAACUGUCAGUCUUGAGGUCGAGAGAGGUGAGUGGAAUUCCGAGUGUAGAGGUGAAAUUCUUAGAUAUUCGGAGGAACACCAGUGGCGAAGGCGGCUCACUGG